rnacentral:lncRNA from 1 species
AUAUAAAUAACUUAAUCUCAUUCAUAUAAUUCAUUCAAUAGUGACAACAUCCAUACAUCAAAAAUUUAAUCUAAGUACUUGAAACUCCAAAGAAAAAAUUAAUGUAGUUCAAACAUUCAAAAACUAAAACAUAAAUAUUAGUAGAGUGGCUAAACAUACAAAACAUUAUGUCAAAAUAAUAGAUUCAUGAAAUAUCUAAAUAUUCCGAAGUAUUUGAUGUUGCUUCAUGAUCCUUAAUUAGUGCUAGCUAGACUCACUUAAGAAGGAAUGCCUAACAUCUCUUGCGGAUUCUAUGUUUGUUGCCUGAAAAAACAUACAAGACAAUGAUUAGCAAUAUCCAAGUACUCCUAACAAUCAACUAAAAAGCAGUGACACUCAACAAAUAAUCAUAUAUUGAUCCACCACCUAUAAUCAUGUUUUAGUAAACAAACACCUAAAGCUAAAAAUUGUUGGUAAUCAAAUUACAUGAUACAUUUUAUAAAAACAGUUUUUUCAAAACUAUUUUACAAAGGGGAUAUUAAAAACUAAAAUCCAAAACAGUAUCAAAUAGACCUUGAAAAAUACUUUCAAAUUUAGUUUUAAUGCAUAUUAUAUCACCACCACUACCAUAGGAUCAAGCUCUCCUUAUAUGAACUCUAGAUGGUAAAAAGUAGUCCAUGAAACAUAUGAAUGUAUAACUUUGCAGAUGCAUAACUUUGCAGAUGCAUAACUUUGCAGCAUCAACACAAAUGGAAGAUAUGGAUAAUACUAAUCCUAGGAUUAUCACAAUGAAACACAACAACUAAUGAGUAUUGAUAUGUUACCAAAAAGUGAAAUGGAAUAUCCAGAUN